rnacentral:rRNA from 1 species
GCGCAGCAGUCGAGAAACUUUACAAUGCGGGAAACCGCGAUAAGGGGACACCGAGUGCCAGCAUACUAUGUUGGCUGUCCACAUGUGUAAAUAGCAUGUGUUAGCAAGGGCCGGGCAAGACCGGUGCCAGCCGCCGCGGUAACACCGGCGGCCCGAGUGGUAAUCACUAUUAUUGGGUCUAAAGGGUCCGUAGCCGGUUUGAUUA